AGGACGAACGCUGGCGGCGUGCUUAACACAUGCAAGUCGAGCGAGGCCUUCCCUUCGGGGGAGUGUCCUAGCGGCGAACGGGUGAGUAACACGUGGGCAACCUGCCCUCAGCUCUGGGAUAACUCCAAGAAAUUGGGGCUAAUACCGGAUAUGACUGCUGACCGCAUGGUCUGGUGGUGGAAAGAUUUAUCGGCUGGGGGAUGGGCCCGCGGCCUAUCAGCUUGUUGGUGGGGUAGUGGCCUACCAAGGCGACGACGGGUAGCCGGCCUGAGAGGGUGACCGGCCACACUGGGACUGAGACACGGCCCAGACUCCUACGGGAGGCAGCAGUGGGGGAAUAUUGCGCAAUGGGCGGAAGCCUGACGCAGCGACGCCGCGUGGGGGAUGACGGCCUUCGGGUUGUAACCUCUUUCGUCAUCGACGAAGCCCUUCGGGUGACGGUAGGUGGAGAGAAGCACCGGCCAACUACGUGCCAGCAGCCGC
rnacentral:rRNA from 1 species